GGAGAGGAGUAGAAUAGAAAGGGAGGAGAGGAAUAGAAUAGAAAGAGAGGAGUAGAAUAGAAAGAGAGGAGAGGAGAGGAAUAGAAUAGAAAGAGAGGAGUAGAAUAGAAAGAGAGGAGAGGAGUAGAAUAGAAAGAGAGGAGAGGAGUAGAAUAGAAAGAGAGGAGAGGAGAGGAGAGUAGAAUAGAAAGAGAGGAGAGGAGAGGAGUAGAAUAGAAAGAGAGGAGAGGAGUAGAAUAGAAAGAGAGGAGAGGAGAGAGGAGUAGAAUAGAAAGAGAGGAGAGGAGAGGAGUAGAAUAGAAAGAGAGGAGAGGAGAGGAAUAGAAAGGGAGGAGAGGAGAGGAAUAGAAAGGGAGGAGAGGAGAGGAAUAGAAAGGGAGGAGAGGAAUAGAAAGAGAGGAGAGGAAUAGAAAGAGAGGAGGGGAGUGGAAUAGAAAGAGAGGAGAGGAAUAGAAAGGGGUCAAUGUUAUAACUGGAGAACUGGGGC
ensembl:lncRNA